rnacentral:misc_RNA from 1 species
GAAACAUCCACCGAUCAACAAUCUGCAACAAAUAUAGUAUAAGAAACUCAAACUAGCAUUAGCAUACUCAUGUAGAUAAAUCUACCACAUAAUUGUACUAGUUUACUAUAGAUAAUUUUGAGGGACGCGUAAGUUUUUCUUAGCGUUAAGCAUUUUUUCAAUGGGAGGCCUAUUGGGCCCUAUCUAAAUAAUUAAGUAUAAAUUUCCUCUAUCCUAAAAAUCCCGCCAAAUAUCAGUGGUUCAAAUGCAAAACCUCAAAGUUGGAAUCCUAUUUUUAAUAGUUGGGAUGUCUCCUUGGAGAUUAAUUUAUUCAUGAUUAUUACUUUUGUUAGGAAUAUACAAGUGUAGAAUUCUUACAUUGGAAAAAUAUAGGAUGAGUGAAAGACAUAUUAAUGAAAAUGACACAUAUACCCAUUGUCUUAAGGUUUUGAGUUUGAUGUAGUGUCAAGCCCAUGAGUGUGUUCUUUUAUAAAACCCAUCAAGAAAAAUUCUCCUCAGGCGCUUUAAGCUUUCCAAAUCUCCAACAGUUAAUAUCAAAGCCGAUGGUUUGGUAAGGGACGAGUAUGGAGACGGUAAUCAAUGAUUUCCGUGGUGCUCUGACACACAUGGAUGGAAGAGCCGAGAGACUCCUGGUAAGCCCAAUAAAACAGAAAUGCACUUUUCUCAAGAAGAGCAGACCGAUGGAGUGGAGACUCUCGGUACACGUGAUGGCUCUAGCAUGACUUUUAGAAGUGCAUGCUCGAGCCCAUGAGCAUGAUCUUUCAUAAGACCCAUAAAAAAAUAUUCUCCCCAGGCGCUUUAGGCUCUCCAAAUCUCCAACAACUUCCAUUUUUACAAGGGAUAAAUACAAAAUUCUCUAAAAAAAUUGUGAUUCUUGAAUUAAUCUCCAAACUCUAAAAUUCCACCAGCAUUCCCAAAUUUCCCGCUGUGUAUUGUUUUCAUCCUUCCAUUUAAUAGUCUAUAACUUCACUUGUUCCAAGUUAGUGACAUUAGUAUACUAACAUGAGAUGUGAAACUACAUCCCUCAACUGUUGGGAGCAACCAAAAGGGGAAAAAGAACACAUGCUUGAGAUAACAGUCUAAUUGGGGUAAUCGUAUCGUUCACCAUUGCUUUUUUGUCCCCCAAUUUGUUCCUCUAUAGUGUGCAAGAAAUUGAAUCUAGGAGCACUAAUUUGCAAUCUCCCAUAAUAUUAUUAUAAAUAAAGCAUGCUAAAGUUACCCUCAAGUUGUUAUUUGCAUUAUCCAAAUUCACUCAACAUCUGAUUUAAUAUCUGUGAGAACUGUUAUGUCUUCAUUAUUGGUUUUUCAUAUAUUGUCAAAAGAAAACAAACCUUGAAUGAUUCUACUGUUCCUUC